rnacentral:rRNA from 1 species
UUGAACGCUGGCGGCAUGCUUUACACAUGCAAGUCGAACGGUAACAGGUUAAGCUGACGAGUGGCGAACGGGUGAGUAAUGCAUCGGAACGUGCCCGAUCGUGGGGGAUAACGCAGCGAAAGUUACGCUAAUACCGCAUACGCCCUGAGGGGGAAAGCGGGGGAUUCGUAAGAACCUCGCGCAAUUAGAGCGGCCGAUGUCGGAUUAGCUAGUUGGUGGGGUAAAGGCCUACCAAGGCGACGAUCCGUAGCUGGUCUGAGAGGAUGAUCAGCCACACUGGGACUGAGACACGGCCCAGACUCCUACGGGAGGCAGCAGUGGGGAAUUUUGGACAAUGGGCGCAAGCCUGAUCCAGCCAUGCCGCGUGAGUGAAGAAGGCCUUCGGGUUGUAAAGCUCUUUCAGACGGAAAGAAAUCGGGCGCGUGAAUAGCGUGCCUGGAUGACGGUACUGUCAGAAGAAGCACCGGCUAACUACGU